GAGAUAUAUCCUCGUGGAUGACGAUUUCUUCCGUUUCCUCCCAACACAUCUAUUGGGAUGGAUUUUCCUAUUUGAGUUACAUCCUCAUUAGGACGUGUCUUUAUUCAGUCUGUUUUUUCGGAUUAUUCCCGAAUCGACUAUUUGUCAGAUAUCUUGUGCUUCCCAGUGGGUUGUUCCCCAGUGGAAUGUUUUCGGGCCUCUACCCUCAUACCG
rnacentral:lncRNA from 1 species